UACGGAGGGGACUAGCGUUGUUCGGAAUUACUGGGCGUAAAGGGCGCGUAGGCGGUGUGUCAAGUCAGGCGUGAAAGCCCCGGGCUCAACCUGGGAACCGCGCUUGAGACUGGCACGCUAGAGUUCGGGAGAGGAUGGUGGAAUUCCCAGUGUAGAGGUGAAAUGCGCAGAUAUCAGGAGGAACACCAAUGGCGAAGGCAGCUCGCUGGGACGGUACUGACGCUGAGGCGCGAAAGCGUGGGGAGCAAACAGG
rnacentral:rRNA from 1 species